rnacentral:lncRNA from 1 species
AUGAUCCGGGGUUUGACACGGGUCCAAAUCCCAGCUCAAGCAAACACCUCCCGUGGGGUCUGCAGCGAGACACGUCCCUGGGACAGCGAGCCUCAUCCCAAAAAGGAGCUGUCAGACACGUGCAAACCACUGCUGUUACAGCCCCUGGAAGCGAGACGGAUCCUGAGCUACGAGCUCCGUUGGGGUAACCACUCACAGGCACCCCACAAACCACGCUCGGGUUGUGGAAAACAAGCCCUGGCCACCCCCGGCACAGAGCUCGGGGACAAGGGCCCAUUCAGAGCUGGCACACAAGGGACAAGGCUCCUGAUGGAGCUUCCAGGAGCUGCAGAUGGAGCCCGGCAGGGAAACGAGCAGAGCCCGGCCGUGCCGGAGGGGGGCCGCAGCCCGGCACAGCUGGAGAGCAGGAGGGGGACAAGCGGGGACCGGGGAGGUGGCAGCAACGGGGCCAGGGGGAUGGGAGGGACGUGGAGACCCGGGGCAGGGGCUGGAAACGAGCACGGAGCAGGAGGAGGCUGGGCUCAGCACACACACACACAUCUGCGUGUGGGAAUAACAAAGCAGGUGGGAAGGGAGCAGCGCCAACGCCGAGACAGCCGGCAGGUGACCUCCGAGCUGAGCCAACACCCACGGCUGCCAGGUGGCACGUUUGGGCCCUCGGGGAGCUCCACGUCUGCUCCUGGCCCCGUCACCGACCCGAGCACGUCCCCGAGCUCACGUCCAGGUCCUGAAGCUCCGCACAGAGCAGAUUCUGAUCCCCGCUGUCACCCCAGCGUGGCAGCGCCACGCAGCCCUCACCGCUCUCACCUCUCCGAAGAGCAGGGAAUAAACAAACACGUGCACCGGGACGCACGGCGCCAACCUGCCAACGCACCCCAAAAAUUACAGGGGGGACAAAUCCCAAUGCAACAGCCACGGGGCAGCACGGGAGACGUGAAACCACCUUUACCACUUCUGCCACACGCCCUAAUAUCGACAGGGAAAAGCUACAAGCUCACAAACCCAAGCGGCCCCAUUCCUCCCAUCGUGGCAAACGAACCUAGGGCAGCCUCCAGAUCAUCCCAAAGCCUCCCUCCACCAACUUGUCAGGACAAGGGAAGGAGAGAGCCAAAAAUGUGCAGGGAAGACCUCAAAAAGUUCCCAUCAGAAGCACAAGAGGCAGCUCUGAGCCCGGUGCCGGGUGUCCCACACCUCUGCUGUCCGUGCCGGUGCUGCCCUUUGGGGUUGAGGCCCGAGCCCUGCCUGUACCCGUUCCUGGAAAGGAUGGCACACGGGGUAUUUAGGGCUGGUAACACACCUCCUCGGACAGGGGGGGGAUUUAGGAACCUGUCUGCAGGCAGAGCUCUGCCUGGGCAGGGCUGGCUGCCUCCCCGACCGGUUCCCCUGGCUGCAGCGUGCCGGGGCGAAGCAGCCCCAAGGCAGCAGCAGCUUGGGGCGAAAGAAUGGGGCCAGGAGGGACCCAGGGGGUGCACAGAACCCGCUCCAACCAGGAGAGGAGAGGGGGAAGGUGCCGUGCCCCAUCCGGGCUGUCCCACUGACAGCGGGGCGCUGGAGCAGCCCCAGAGCCGAGCGGGAGCCUGUUGGGAUUUAAUUCCGACUGAUUUCACCCCGUGCCUACACCCGGAGAAAAAGGGCAGGGUUCAGAUCAGGCAAACGAGCAUGAACACAGCCCGAGGAGGGCCAGACGCGCACAAAACCCCAAAAGAAUCCCCGGAAAGGGGGUGUCCCGGCCCCACACGCCCCCAGCACGAUGGGGUUUGUGUUUGGGGCACGGGGCUUGCGGCCACCCCGUUGUGCCCCGCUCCUGGGGCCAGGCAGGGAGAGACCCCACAGCAGCAUCGCCCCCCCGGUCCCACAGCGGGGGGGUCCCUGCGGUGUCCCCCGUGAAUGUGGAGCCCUCCCUGGGAAACGGGCCCAGAGGGGG